GACGAACGCUGGCGGCGUGCCUAAUACAUGCAAGUAGAACGCAGUUGCGAACGGGUGAGUAACGCGUCGGUAACUGCCCCAUAGCGGGGGAUAACUUUUGGAAACGAUAGCUAAUACCGCAUACUGUGGGAUGGACCUGCGUUGUAUUAGCUAGUUGGUGAGGUUAAGGCUCACCAAGGCGGCGAUACAUAGCCGGCCUGGGAGGGCGAUCCGCCACACUGUGACUGAGACACGGCCCAGACUCCUACGGGAGGCAGCAGUAGGGAAUCUUCGGAAAUUGACGGAAGUCUGAACGAGCAACGCCGCGUGAUUGAAGAAGGUUUUCGGAUCGUAAAGCUCUUUUGUUAGAGAAGCGUUAACUAACCAGAAAGGGACGGCUAACUACGUGCCAGCAGCCGCGGUAAUUC
rnacentral:rRNA from 1 species